UUCUUACACUCAACUCUCCAUUUUAAAUCAGCAUGCAUAACAUCAUAGUUGUGUUUGGCACUAGUUUACUUUAUAUCUGGUUCUGUUUGCAAAUAGACAGUUAAUCAGUGAAUGUAGCAUCUUCUAGCUUUUGUUAAGUAUGCUAGCUGUAUCCCAGUUGCUCAAAUUUACUCUUAAAGAUGAGUCCCACAUUAUUAAACAUGAACUACUUCAGACUGUGUAGAGGAUCGCACUAUGAUCAUCAGCCAUAAAAAAAAAAAAGAAAAGAAAUUUUUUUCUUACUGAAAAUGGCAAGUACUUCAAGGAGCCGUGCUACUCUGCUUUCAUAAUACUCCAUCCAGCCACAUCAUGGUCGAUUUUUAGGUUCCUUCGAGUAAACUACAGGAUUUGGUCCAUCCGACUUGGUUCAGGUUUCAAAGCGGGUUACUUUGCUUUAAGGGCUGCCUGAGAAAGCUAUCAGACUGUCUCACAAAAACACCAACAACAGGUGAAAGAACGGGGGCUUUCUCGCUAACGUGAUUGUACCAACAACAUGGAGCUCAAAGACAACAAAAAAGGGGGCAAAGAAACCAGCAUGUCUUCGCUUACUGGUUCACUUUGACCUCACAUGCAAAUGUAACCAAAGAGAGGGGACAAAAAUAAACCCUUUUUU